UACAGAGGUCUCAAGCGUUGUUCGGAUUCGUUGGGCGUAAAGGGUGCGUAGGCGGCGCGGUAAGUCGGGUGUGAAAUCUCGGAGCUUAACUCCGAAACUGCAUUCGAUACUGCCGUGCUUGAGGACUGGAGAGGAGACUGGAAUUUACGGUGUAGCGGUGAAAUGCGUAGAUAUCGUAAGGAAGACCAGUGGCGAAGGCGGGUCUCUGGACAGUUCCUGACGCUGAUGAACGAAAGCCAGGGGAGCAAACGGG
rnacentral:rRNA from 1 species